AGCGAACGCUGGCGGCGUGGUUAAGGCAUGCAAGUCGAGCGAUCCCGCAGCAAUGCGGGAUAGCGGCAAACGGGUGAGUAACGCGUAGGUAACCUACCCUGAAGUGUGGGACAACCCUGCGAAAGCGGGGCUAAUACCACAUGCGCUCNCAGACUGCAUGGUCUGCGAGGAAAGAUGGCCUCGACCGAAAGGUUGCUAUCACUUUAGGAGGGACCUGCGUCCCAUCAGCUAGUUGGUAGGGUAACGGCCUACCAAGGCAUAUGACGGGUAGCUAGCCUUAG
rnacentral:rRNA from 1 species